rnacentral:lncRNA from 1 species
ACAGUGCCUGUCUAUCUAUCUANCUUUCUAUCUAUAACUUUGCUGAUGAGGGAAAUCCACUCAUGCAAAAUAUUUGAUGGAGAGGACUGGAAAAAAACACGUGCCUGUAAUUCCAAAGGUAACCUGCUGCUUAAUGUUUUGUGUGUGUGUGUGUGUGUGUGUGUUAUUACUAUUAAGCUUAUUUAAGUAAAAGUUGUUCGGUGUGUGUGUGUGUGUGUGUGUAUUUACAUUAAGCAUUUUGUAAAAAGUGUUUGCCUCAUUUAUUUUUUCUGUAAUUCUGCACACUUUCACAUUGAAUGUCAUCAGGUCUUUAAACAAAUCAUCUUUAAUUAUUAAAGAUAACACCUAGUUCCCUAUGAAAAAAAGUGAUUAAUUUGUCAAGAAUUCAAUACCUGUUUACACUCCAUUAGUAGCACACAUUUUCUAAGCAUUGUUUAUAGACAUAAUAAUGGUUUUCCCAUGUGUUACAGUACUGUAAAAUGGAAUGUACAAACUAGUUGGACAGAUGAUAGCUGUGUGCCUGGUACAUGGUGGUGUGGAGCCACAUUUUUUUUCAGAAAGACUGUUCUGUCAGGUGUGCAACCUUCAGCCCCCAGUACCAGACCUUCAAGAGAUUGUGGACUACGACUUCAGAGCAAAGAUGACCAAGAUCCAGUCGGCACAGAAUGUAAAUGACGCACAGUGUGCUAUAAUGGAGGCGUCUGACCAAUUAAGAAUGCUGGGGUCUCUAUUUACAUCCAGACGUUAGAGGACAGAGACAACUUGGUGGAAUCGGCUACCAAGUUUUUCACUCAGAACAGGUUGAGGGAUUCCUUGGAACAGUGAGUAUAAGAAUGUACAGAUAUUUUCACCUGACAAAUUACCAGUAAUAUUUUGUCAUUGUUUCACAUUGUGUACAUGUUUUGUUUAUCUAGAUUUAAAGAGGGCCUGGAGUGAUGCAAAAGCAUCCUGAGCUCUUUAAAGAGGUAUUUAUGUACGAGGAGAAGCCACUUUUGGCCGAAGACAUAUCUGCUUUGUUUAAAGCAGAACUUUCUCCAGUUGGCAGCAACAGGACAGUAGUGGAGAGUAGAACAAUCUGUUUCUGGAGGGACUGGCUCAUAGAAGUGGAAGGUAUGACAUCAAACUGAAGCUAUGUUGGAUCUCUCUCUCUCUCUCUGUGUCUGUCUUAUCUAUCUAUCUAUCUGUCUGUCUAUCUAUCUAUUCUGUCUAUCUAUCUAUCUUUUUUUGGCUUGACAGACCCUUGUUGUCAAAAAUCAUCCUUUUAUGUUGCAUCCCAGGUGAAAAAAGUUUAAAUACACUUUCAGUACACUUAGUACAACACUUAGUACACUUCCAUAAUGUACUUUAAAAUGAAUAUUCUGUCAUUAAUUACUCACCCUCAUGUCAUUCCAAACCCAUAAGACCUUUGUUCAUCUUUGGGAACAAAAAUUAAGAUAUGUUUGAUGAAAUCCUAUAGCUCAUGUGUGCUUUCAACAUAUUAUCCCUGUAUUAAAAUGUAUUUAGUUGCCACUUGAACAAAUCUUUCAUACACUUUUAAAUAUAUACUCAUAUACAAAUCUACUAAGAUUGAACUAAUUUUUAAUGCAAUGAAAUCAAUCUUAAGAAAUACACUAAUAAAAGUCCUCUGUAUAUUUUUGUGAUAUGAUUAUUUCAAUGCACUA